GGUUAAGCGACUAAGCGUACACGGUGGAUGCCCUGGCAGUCAGAGGCGAUGAAGGACGUGCUAAUCUGCGAUAAGCGUC
rnacentral:rRNA from 3 species